rnacentral:lncRNA from 1 species
AUGGAAAAGAAAGGCAAAAAAGCAAAAUGGCUGUCUGGGGAGGCCUUACAAAUAGCUGUGAAAAGAAGAGAGGUGAAAAGCAAAGGAGAAAAGGAAAGAUAUAAGCAUCUGAAUGCAGAGUUCCAAAGAAUAGCAAGAAGAGAUAAGAAAGCCUUCUUCAGUGAUCAAUGCAAAGAAAUAGAGGAAAACAACAGAAUGGGAAAGACUAGAGAUCUUUUCAAGAAAAUUAGAGAUACCAAGGGAACAUUUCAUGCAAAGAUGGGCUCGAUAAAGGACAGAAAUGGUCUGGACCUAACAGAAAAAGAAGAUAUUAAGAAGAGGUGGCAAGAAUACACAGAAGAACUGUACAAAAAAGAUCUUCACGACCCAGAUAAUCAUGAUGAUGUGAUUACUAAUCUAGAGCCAGACAUCUUGGAAUGUGAAGUCAAGUGGGCCUUAGAAAGCAUCACUACAAAGAGAGCUAGUGGAGGUGAUGGAAUUCCAGUUGAGCUGUUUCAAAUCCUGAAAGAUGAUGCUGUGAAAGUGCUGCACUCAAUAGGCCAGCAAGUUUGGAAAACUCAGCAGUGGCCACAGGACUGGAAAAGGUCAGUUUUCAUUCCAAUCCCAAAGAAAAGUAAUGCAAAAGAAUGCUCAAACUACCGCACAAUUGCACUCUUCUCACAUGCUAGUAAAGUAAUGCUCAAAAUUCUCCAAGCCAGGCUUCAGCAAUACGUGAACCGUGAAUUCCCGGAUGUUCAAGCUGGUUUUAGAAAAGGCAGAGGAACCAGAAAUCAAACAGCUAACAUCCGCUGGAUCAUGGAAAAAGCAAGAGAGUUCCAGAAAAACAUCUAUUUCUGCUUUAUUGACUAUGCCAAAGCCUUUGACUGUGUGGAUCACAAUAAACUGCGGAAAAUUCUGAAAGAGAUGGGAAUACCAGACCACCUAACCUGCCUCUUGAGACAUCUGUAUGCAGGUCAGGAAGCAUCAGUUAGAACUGGACAUGGAACAACAGACUGGUUCCAAAUAGGAAGAGGAGUACGUCAAGGCUGUAUAUUGUCACCCUGCUUAUUUAACUUAUAUGCAGAGUACGUCAUGAGAAACGCUGGACUGGAAGAAACGCAAGCUCGAAUCAAGAUUGCCAGGAGAAAUAUCAAUAACCUCAGAUAUGCAGAUGACACCACCCUUAUGGCACAAAGUGAAGAGGAACUCAAAAGCCUCUUGAUGAAAGUGAAAGAGGAGAGUGAAAAAGUUGGCUUAAAGCUCAACAUUCAGAAAACGAAGAUCAUGGCAUCUGGUCCCAUCACUUCAUGGGAAAUAGAUGGGGAAACAGUAGAAACAGUGUCAGACUUUAUUUUUGGGGGCUCCAAAAUCACUGCAGAUGGUGACUGCAGCCAUGAAAUGAAAAGACGCUUACUCCUUGGAAGAAACGUUAUGACCAACCUAGAUAUAUUCAAAAGCAGAGACAUUACUUUGCCGACUAAGGUCCAUCUAGUCAAGGCUAUGGUGUUUCCUGUGGUCAUGUAUGGAUGUGAGAGUUGGACUGUGAAGAAGGCUGAGCACCAAAGAAUUGAUGCUUUUGAACUGUGGUGUUGGAGAAGACUCUUCAGAGUCCCUUGGACUGCAAGGAGAUCCAACCAGUUCAUUCUGAAGGAGAUCAGCCCUGGGAUUUCUUUGGAAGGAAUGAUGCUGAAGCUGAAGCUCCAGUACUUUGGCCACCUCAUGUGA